CCUACGGGAGGCAGCAGUGGGGAAUCUUGCGCAAUGGGCGAAAGCCUGACGCAGCCAUGCCGCGUGAAUAAUGAAGGUCUUAGGAUUGUAAAAUUCUUUCACCGAGGACGAUAAUGACGGUACUCGGAGAAGAAGCCCCGGCUAACUUCGUGCCAGCAGCCGCGGUAAUACGAAGGGGGCUAGCGUUGCUCGGAAUUACUGGGCGUAAAGGGAGCGUAGGCGGAUAGUUUAGUCAGAGGUGAAAGCCCAGGGCUCAACCUUGGAAUUGCCUUUGAUACUGGCUAUCUUGAGUACGGAAGAGGUAUGUGGAACUCCGAGUGUAGAGGUGAAAUUCGUAGAUAUUCGGAAGAACACCAGUGGCGAAGGCGACAUACUGGUCCGUUACUGACGCUGAGGCUCGAAAGCGUGGGGAGCAAACAGGAUUAGAUACCCUGGUAGUCCACGCUGUAAACGAUGAGUGCUAGUUGUCGGCAUGCAUGCAUGUCGGUGACGCAGCUAACGCAUUAAGCACUCCGCCUGGGGAGUACGGUCGCAAGAUUAAAACUCAAAGGAAUUGACGGCUGAGACGNGCGAGACGACGACGAGGGAGGAGG
rnacentral:rRNA from 1 species